AACCGCCCGGUGCGGACCCGCAUGCCGGGUGGUGUGGCAGGGGUGCGAUUGAUUAAAUCGCCCCCUAUGCCGAU
rnacentral:autocatalytically_spliced_intron from 2 species